GCAAGUCGAGGGGCAGCAUGACCGAACCUAGUUUGGUUGAUGGCGACCGGCGAACGGGUGAGUAACGCGUACGCAACUUACCUCCAAGUAGAGCAUAGCCCCGGGAAACUGGGAUUAAUACUCUAUAGUAUUCGAGAACGGCAUCGUUUUCGGAUUAAAGCGUUAGUGCUUGGAGAUAGGCGUGCGUUCUAUUAGGUAGUUGGUAAGGUAAAGGCUUACCAAGCCUGCGAUAGAUAGGGGGCGUGAGAGCGUGAUC
rnacentral:rRNA from 1 species